rnacentral:pre_miRNA from 1 species
UUAUUCCUCAAAAAUGAUUGUGUUUAUGUUGAAUUAUUGAAAAUAUCAUAUCACGGUCAGCUUUGAUGGAAUAAA